rnacentral:other from 1 species
UUUGCCCUCUCGCGCUCGAUAAGGGUUGAGAUUUUUUGAGCCAAUAUAUCUUUUCGGGGGCUACCUUUAGCGCCUGUUGUGCAGAUCCCGGAGCGAUCCGGGAAAGCCUGAUGGCGCACAUGGCGGCCACCACCUGGCUUGUCCAGGUUCAAAAAAUUUCUCCCAACGGCGCGGAGGGGGAUUUA